AGUUCGGCGGCGAGACGGUACGCUUCUUUUGACUCUUUUUUCGACUCUCUCAUUCCAGUCGGUUCCUCUAUACCUCUAUGUUGCCCCCACCGCCAUAGCCAUAGCAGCUUAUUAGUGGUGGUGGUUGUUUUCUGCGAGCAUUGGUAAUGUCGCAGAAGCGGCAGCAAGAGGACUCCAAGGGUAGUUCGGAGGGCAAUGGGUCCGGUGAAAAGCAUCGCAAACAUCCUUCUUUCAGAAGGUGGAAAAUUUUGAGAAAAUGUUCAGUCUAUUGCAAACUGGAUGAAUGAGUUCCAGUCGAUGAAGCUUAAUAUUGUUAGAAUUGGGGUGGAACAAGAGGACAAUUCUGUGAAGAAAGCACUUCAAAGCCAUCUUCACCAAACCUCAAGAGCUCAGGCACUAGGAAAGAGGUAAUUAAACACAGAAUUUGCUAUUACAAUGACACGAAACCAUCUUCACUAAUCCUCAAAAUGCACUUGAAAGUUUGGCCUUUGUAACUUGGCUUUUAGUUUCAUGCAACAUAUAUAUUUUUUCUUCUCUAGCUUGUUCUUAUCGUCUCUAUUUUCUUACUACUCUC